UUAAAGCUUAUGAUGCACUUUCCAAAGAGCUUGGCUUGUUGGAUAGUAGCAAUGCAAUUAACCACAUGCGGCCUAUGUUUAUCAAUGAUGGCCCCAGUGAUGUUAAUCUGGACUUGUUUGUGACCGCUCUCACAAAUGUGAAUGAAAAUGCCCAGACUAUCUCAACACAAAUACGACUUGUCACUACUUGGCAUAAAGGCGUCCUUAAGUCACGUGAAAUACCAAACGGUUCUUUGUGGGUCCCCUCAGAGUUUUGUGGCAUUUUCUCAAUUAUAGCUGAAAAAGAUUUUUUGUGGACUCCAGACAUUGCCAUUAUGGA